rnacentral:rRNA from 1 species
UGGGCAACCUGCCCCAGACACAGGGAUAACCCCGGGAAACCGGGGCUAAUACCGGAUACUCCGGUCGAACCGCAUGGCUCGAUCGGGAAAGCUCCGACGGUCUGGGAUGGGCCCGCGGCCUAUCAGCUUGUUGGUGGGGUAACGGCUCACCAAGGCAACGACGGGUAGCUGGU